AACGAACGCUGGCGGCAUGCCUAACACAUGCAAGUCGAACGAAGCCUUCGGGCUUAGUGGCGCACGGGUGCGUAACGCGUGGGAAUCUGCCCUUUGGUUCGGAAUAACAGUGGAAACGACUGCUAAUACCGGAUGAUGACGAAAGUCCAAAGAUUUAUCGCCAGAGGAUGAGCCCGCGUAGGAUUAGCUAGUUGGUGUGGUAAAGGCGCACCAAGGCGACGAUCCUUAGCUGGUCUGAGAGGAUGAUCAGCCACACUGGGACUGAGACACGGCCCGGAAUCCUACGGGAGGCAGCAGUGGGGAAUAUUGGACAAUGGGCGAAAGCCUGAUCCAGCAAUGCCGCGUGAGUGAUGAAGGCCCUAGGGUUGUAAAGCUCUUUUACCCGGGAUGAUAAUGACAGUACCGGGAGAAUAAGCCCCGGUUAACUCCGUGCCAGCAGCCGCCGUAA
rnacentral:rRNA from 1 species